rnacentral:lncRNA from 12 species
UAUAUAAAUUUAUAUAUAUAAAUAAUUUAUAUAUAUAAAUAUAUAUAAUAAUAUAUAUAUUAAUAUAUAUAUAUAUAUAUAUAUAUAUUUUUUUUUUUUCCCCAGGGAAGAAGAACGUAAACAAGGAAGCUUGUGAGUGGUGCUUCCAGUUGCUCGAUUUGAACAGCUUUGGGAGAAGUCCCUCUCCUGGUGUUUCCCACAGCAGAGCAGUGCGAACGUGCUUUCUCGGAGGGAGAGGCCAGAGCAGCGCGGACCGAGCGCCUUGGCGGGCCCACGCUGCCGGGGAAGUCUCACCCUCUGCCGUAGAUAGAGGAGCAAAAGAGAAAACGAAGUCAUAUGAAGCAUAACCUUUGCCUGCUGCAGAAGCUGCACCUGGUUUUUCUGGGCUGGAGGAGGCCCGCCUCCCUGCGUCCUUCAAAGCAGCAGGCCUGGCUGCUACAAGGGUGAGCAUCUCGUUUUCUAUGCUCAGCCCAGGUAGCCA